AGUGCGCAUGCGCGGCCUGCCGGGGGCGGCCUCUUGCAGUUCCCGCCCUGACGCAGCGCGAGAUUAGAGCUCCCGCUAGUCUCCAGCUGACCCUGGGCCUCAAAGGCAAGCCCUGAGCUCAGUCACACGGGGUGGCGGUGAUAUGGUUUGGCUCUGUGUGCUUCACUCUGCCUCACUCGCCUUCCGCCUGCUGGACGCUGCCCUGUUCCCCGCAGGCGGCCGCCGUGGAGGGCAGGCACCGCGCUCCCUGGCUGCUCCCGGGGCCUUCCAAGCACAGCCACGGCCAUGAGGCAGAAACCGAGACCUUCAGGGGCCUGCGGGCGGAGCUCCACAAGCCCAGCUGCUACACUGAAGGGAAGAACCUGAGGAAGCCCCUGACCUUCUUGAAUAACCUGGAUAUUGCAGAAUCAAGCCUGGCACACGGCACUGGCAGAGACGCAGAAGGGAAAGUGUCCAGCGAUGAGAGACCCGGUUCAAACCCCAGCUCCUCUAGAUGCCUGCCCAACCCAGACCUGCCUCAUGGGCAUCAGCUGCUCCCUGUGAGACGUGGAAGCACUCACCCUGGAGCCCUGGUUCUUCCUGCCUUGCUGCUGACGGACAAGGCCCAGCUGCCACCACCUGGCUGCCUUGGGCCCCCGUCGACUAUGUGGGCCCUCCUUUCCUUUCCCCCUUCUCCUCAGCU
rnacentral:lncRNA from 1 species